rnacentral:rRNA from 1 species
AUUGAACGCUGGCGGCAGGCCUAACACAUGCAAGUCGAACGAGUGGCGGACGGGUGAGUAAUGUCUGGGAAACUGCCCGAUGGAGGGGGAUAACUACUGGAAACGGUAGCUAAUACCGCAUACCAUCGGAUGUGCCCAGAUGGGAUUAGCUAGUAGGUGGGGUAACGGCUCACCUAGGCGACGAUCCCUAGCUGGUCUGAGAGGAUGACGAGCCACAGUGGAACUGAGACAGGGUCCAGACUCCUACGGGAGGGAGCAGGGGGGAAUAUUGCAAAAUGGGCGAAAGCCUGAGGCAGCCAUGCCGGGUGUAUGAAGGAGGCCUUCGGUUUGAAAAGUAGUUUCAGCGAGGAGGCGUUACUCGCAGAAGAAGCACCGGCUAACUCCGUGCAAGCAGCCGCGGUAAUC